CAAGGAGAAUCCUUGGCCUGGAUCUAUAUGGAGUGGAAGAAGCACCAAGACGUCAAAGCCCAGAAAGUGGAGAGCUGUGUGCUGCUAGCAAGCUCUGUCUACGGAAAAUAGGAAAACUCUCCAGAGCAUGUUACCAUCACCAUCUGCCAGAGACCCCGUGCAAUAUUAGUCAAAGCAUCUUUAAUAAUGCAACAACGGUCAGCAGCCAGCAGAAUAUCAAACUGGAUUUUGAAGAAUUAUGAAUCAUUUUCUCCAUGCAGAUUUCAUAGGUCGUUAAUCUUCAUGGGACAAAUUACCACCGGCAGCUCAGCAGCGUGGCACUGAUGGACUGGGCAGGCAACAAAGCCACUCUGCCAUAACUGAGAGGAGUAUUUGCCUUGUAUCCACUGCAUUUCUUCUGAAACUUCUCCUCAUUUCCUUCAGCAUUGUGGUGCAAAUUAUUAUAAUCUAUGACUUUUCAUUGGCCUGUUGUCAGAACCAUCCGUUCCAGCUCACAUUGAACGACCCUCUGCUGACACCUACCCAGCCACUUUGACUUUCCCCUUCUCAGAGAGAUGAGCUCCUUUGCAUCACAGCCUCCAUUUGCUGAGUUAAAGGCUUGAACUUCCUUUAUCACUUCUUUCUCCCCUGUUUUCUUAAGGCCCUAAAGCUUCAGUGCUAACAUUUGGGUUUUCACUGGCAAAUGGAGUGACACAGAGCUGUGCAGGAAUCUGACAGUGUAAUUUUAAUAUCAAAACUAAGGUCUGUUUGCCAUGGUAAGGAGCAUACAUACAGCAAAAACACAUGCUGCCAUAACAAAAAAGGGAACAACAUAAAGUAUCAGUGCUAAUAAUAAUAAUAAUCUGCAUGAGAGAGAUGGAGAAAGAAAGAAAAAGAAUACAACCUUCAACCUUCCCUAGGCAACUCAAAUGCCAGAGCAUGUACAGUAUAGUUUGUAAAUCUUUUCAUAUUUAAAGCAUGCUAAAAAAAUAACAUAAGUAUCUAAAUAGGUAAUCUUUUCAGCCAGACACCCACACUGAUAUGAAACACAGGCUGUUAAUUUGGACCCCACCGAAAUGCCUCAGGGGAGACCAGCGCUGCCCAGGGAUCCUCUCUGAAGGGGCAAUUCCAGAAGUGGGGAGUCCUGUCCCGUCUCCCCUUCAACUUUCAUUUCA
rnacentral:lncRNA from 1 species